GUCCCUAUAGCGCAAUGGAUAGAGCACCAGCCUCCGGAGCUGGGAGUGACGGUUCGAGUCCGUCUAGGGACA
rnacentral:tRNA from 1 species